ensembl:lncRNA
GGUUCAAUAAAAUCUAUAGAACAUCUGAUUUGAUUAUGUUAUAGAACUAUUUAAUCAACAAAACUAUCUUUCCUGUUCCACAAAUGUUGAUGCUAUAGAAUCUCAUGCCAUGACCCUCACAAGUAGAAUGUUCAUGAUCAAUCUUUCUGCCUUUUACAUUUCGAUGGAUAAAAACUCAAUUGGAGAAUCUAACAGUGACAAUGGGAUCACACUGCCCCUUAGACAUUAUGAUGGAAACAAUGGGCUGUUCUGCUCUCUCUGGUCUUCCUCCCCUGAGUGAAACAGAGACUGUAAACACACAGGUUCUGAUGAGAUAAACAAUGUGGUCCCCUCUGCCAUAGAUUCUCUCUCUCUCUCCCUCUCUCUCUCCCCACCCCCAGGCUUGGCAAGUAGUCAGAGACAUCCCUGGAAUUCUCUAAAGCCACCCACUUGGCCAGGGCCAUUCACCCUCGCUCCCCUUUAUCUUUUGUGUGCACUGUCACCACUCCUUCUCCCAAGGCCCAGAGAGGGGGAGCCAUUCAUCCCUAAUGAACUUCUGAAAUCAUGCAAACAGCCUCGUUUAAUGGAGAAAUGGGGGAAGCAGUUGUGUUGUAUUUUUUUUUUUCAGUUGGAGAAAGGGGUGCAGCUUAGGGAAAGCCAGUUAAAACAGCAAUGUUUUAUAUCCCUGUUUUAGGGUGAGAACACCUCAAGCAGCAAACAGAAUGAAAAAUAGGUCAACUAUCAUAUCGAGGAUUUAUUCGCAGUGGUGUAAGGCACUUGAGUAAAAAAUAAUAUUUUUUUAUUUACAAUGACAGCCCCCCCCGGCCAAACCCUCCACUAACCCAGACAACGCUGGGCCAAUUGUGCGCCGCCCUAUGGGACUCCCGAUCACGGAUGGUUGUGACACAUACUGGGAACAAGCCAGGGUCUUGUGGUGACGCCUCUAACAGUGCCUUAGACCGCUGUGCCGCUCGGGAUGCCUCAAAGAGGAUCAUAUAUUUGGGAAGUGAUUCUGGUAACACUUUAUUUGGAUAGUCUGUAGAGCAUCUACAGAUGGACUAUCUACAGACGAUCAGUAACAUUUCAACUACUGUAACUAUCUCCUAAACCUAACCCCCACCCUAGCUCUAAUCCUAACCUUAAACCUUAUCCAAAUCCUAAAUUUAACCCUUACCCUAACCCAUAUUCUAAACCUGACCCUAACCGUAAACUUAGCAAGCAGUUGCAUAACCGACAGAUAGUUUGUUGAUAGUAUGACCAUCUUUAGAGCAUCUACAGAUGGGAAAUCCGGACUGUCCAAAUGAAGUGUGACCCUGAUGUAUUUAUCCAUACACAACCACUCAUUCAGAAUAGGCCAAGGCGGGAGCCUGUUGCAGAUAUCCGCUUACAACAAAGGAGUAGAAAAAAAACACAACAACAAAGGAGUAGAAAAAAAACACAACAACAAAGGAGUAGAAAAAAAACACAACAACAAAGGAGUAGAAAAAAAACAACAACAAAGGAGUAGAAAAAAAAAACAACAACAAAGGAGUAGAAAAAAACACAACAACAAAGGAGUAGAAAAAAACACAACAACAAAGGAGUAGAAAAAAACACAACAACAAAGGAGUAGAAAAAAACACAACAACAAAGGAGUAGAAAAAAACACAACAAAGGAGUAGAAAAAAACAACAACAACAAAGGAGUAGAAAAAAAAACACAACAACAAAGGAGUAGAAAAAAACACAACAACAAAGGAUAGAAAAAAAACAACAACAAAGGAGUAGAAAAAAAACACAACAACAAAGGAGUAGAAAAAAAACAACAACAAAGGAGUAGAAAAAAAACACAACAACAAAGGAGUAGAAAAAAAACACAACAACAAAGGAGUAGAAAAAAAACACAACAACAAAGCGAACAGCUUUGAAACGACAUGCAGGUGCCUCAUGAAACAGUACCGCAACUACAACAUGAACAUGAAAAACAACACUAAUUAAAGUGAAUUAAAGCUAUAGGGGAGGCAAAGACAAAAACAUUAUAUGUUUGCAUAAUGGGUGUGGUAAACUGUCAAACGCAAGUGUCUAAAUAUGUCAACCUCCACAUCUGUAGUUAUAUUUUCUUUAUUCCCUACAUAUUCCUUUUAAGAUGCUUGUUCUUCAUAGUUGUUGCGUGUACAGUGUCAAGAAACAUGUACACCCAUUGCCAACUGUGAAAGCUGUUUCUUAUCAACGAAGCAAGGAGCCGCCCAAUUGUUUCCAAGGGUGUUAAUGAGCGUAUUCUUGAUACUGUGUUUCUGCUGAAUUUAG